rnacentral:tRNA from 1 species
AUUCUUUUAGUAUCAAUAAGUACAGUUGACUUCCAAUCAACUAGUUCCGGUAUAACCCGGAAAAGAAUA